GUGGGCCCUCGAAGUCCAGUCGCGGGGGAUUCAGUCGGCGGUGCCCGAGGACGCCUAGCGGCCCACGAUGCGGACCCGUGAGCGGGCCGCGCCGCAUGGCGGUGACUUCGGCGCAGCCGACGCAUUUCCUCCGGCGCGUAGGACGCCGCAACCGGUCGGGUCGAUGCGAGAGUCGGCCGUGAGGUCGGACAACGGCAGGUGGAUCGGCGGCGUCGCGCAUCCGCGUGUUUCGCCAGCCGGUUCCUAGAGCCAGUCCGUCCGUGGCGCGACACCCGACCGAGGUCGAAGUUCCCGAUCCCGGGAACACGUUGUAUCUCCGCCCUCCCCAUGGAGCGGGGGCCUCCGCAAGCUGCACCCGUGGCGGGGAACCACCCAUGAGGUGUGGUCUCUGCCCGGGGGAGCGGCCGCAGCGGUGUGCCUUCCCGCGGUGGUGGCGCGGAGGUUGGCGGCGAGUAGGUCGGUCACCCACCCGACCCGUCUUGAAACACGGACCAAGGAGUCUAACAUGUGCGCGAGUCAAUGGGUCUUGUUCAGGCCCAGAGGCGCAAUGAAAGUGAAGGCGGCCGUCUGACGACGUGCCGCCGUGUUGGGACCCCCCGUCCUCCGCGGCGGGGGAGCACCAACGACCCGUCCCGUCCGGCUCGCCGGUGGGGCGGAGUCGGAGCGUACACGUUGGGACCCGAAAGAUGGUGAACUA
rnacentral:rRNA from 1 species